rnacentral:lncRNA from 1 species
CCACCAGGCGGAGGUGGUGGAGCAGGUGGAGUUCCCCCUGGAGGCAUAGGCCUAGGACCAUUUGUCAUGGGAGGUGGAGGAGGGGGUAAUGAUCCAGGCAUUGGUGGCGGAGGUGGUCUAGAUCCUGCUGGUAGUCCUUGUGAUGGAGGUGGUGGAGGAGGUGGAGCUUGGGGAGGUGGUGGCAAAGACCUCGGUGGGACACCAGGAGCUCCUGUGCCAUUUGCUGCAGGCGCAGAUUGAGGUUUGUUUGCCUCUGGAGGCUUGGUUUUGAAAUAUAACUGCAACUGC